rnacentral:pre_miRNA from 1 species
GACGGGUAUUCUUGGGUACAUAAUACGGAUGGCGCUGUUAUUGCUUGAGAAUACGCGUAGU